rnacentral:rRNA from 1 species
UACAGAGGUCCCGAGCGUUGUUCGGAUUCACUGGGCGUAAAGGGUGCGUAGGUGGCCUGAAAAGUUUGAUGUGAAAGCUCAGGGCUUAACCCUGAAAUGGCAUUGAAUACUGUCGGGCUGGAGGUUUGGAGGGGGGACUGGAACUCUUGGUGUAGCAGUGAAAUGCGUAGAUAUCAAGAGGAACACCAGUGGCGAAGGCGAGUCCCUGGACAACACCUGACACUGAGGCACGAAAGCUAGGGGAGCAAACAGG